rnacentral:sRNA from 1 species
CUUCUCCAACCUGCACCCAGGCACCACCUACCUAUUCUCCGUGCGGGCCCGCACAGGCAAAGGCUUCGGCCAGGCGGCACUCACUGAGAUAACCACUAACAUCUCUGCUCCCAGCUUUGAUUAUGCCGACAUGCCGUCACCCCUGGGCGAGUCUGAGAACACCAUCACCGUGCUGCUGAGGCCGGCACAGGGCCGCGGUGCGCCCAUCAGUGUGUACCAGGUGAUUGUGGAGGAGGAGCGGGCGCGGAGGCUGCGGCGGGAGCCAGGUGGACAGGACUGCUUCCCAGUGCCAUUGACCUUCGAGGCGGCGCUGGCCCGAGGCCUGGUGCACUACUUCGGGGCCGAACUGGCGGCCAGCAGUCUACCUGAGGCCAUGCCCUUUACCGUGGGUGACAACCAGACCUACCGAGGCUUCUGGAACCCACCACUUGAGCCUAGGAAGGCCUAUCUCAUCUACUUCCAGGCAGCAAGCCACCUGAAGGGGGAGACCCGGCUGAAUUGCAUCCGCAUUGCCAGGAAAGCUGCCUGCAAGGAAAGCAAGCGGCCCCUGGAGGUGUCCCAGAGAUCGGAGGAGAUGGGGCUUAUCCUGGGCAUCUGUGCAGGGGGGCUUGCUGUCCUCAUCCUUCUCCUGGGUGCCAUCAUUGUCAUCAUCCGCAAGGGGAGAGACCACUAUGCCUACUCCUACUACCCGAAGCCGGUGAACAUGACCAAGGCCACCGUCAACUACCGCCAGGAGAAGACACACAUGAUGAGCGCCGUGGACCGCAGCUUCACAGACCAGAGCACCCUGCAGGAGGACGAGCGGCUGGGCCUGUCCUUCAUGGACACCCAUGGCUACAGCACCCGGGGAGACCAGCGCAGCGGUGGGGUCACUGAGGCCAGCAGCCUCCUGGGGGGCUCCCCGAGGCGUCCCUGUGGCCGGAAGGGCUCCCCAUACCACACGGGGCAGCUGCACCCUGCGGUGCGUGUCGCAGACCUUCUGCAGCACAUCAACCAGAUGAAGACGGCCGAGGGUUACGGCUUCAAGCAGGAGUAUGAGAGCUUCUUUGAAGGCUGGGACGCCACAAAGAAGAAAGACAAGGUCAAGGGCAGCCGGCAGGAGCCAAUGCCUGCCUAUGAUCGGCACCGAGUGAAACUGCACCCGAUGCUGGGAGACCCCAAUGCCGACUACAUUAAUGCCAACUACAUAGAUGGUUACCACAGGUCAAACCACUUCAUAGCCACUCAAGGGCCGAAGCCUGAGAUGGUCUACGACUUCUGGCGUAUGGUGUGGCAGGAGCACUGUUCCAGCAUCGUCAUGAUCACCAAGCUGGUCGAGGUGAAAUGCUCACGGUAUUGGCCGGAGGACUCAGACACCUACGGGGACAUCAAGAUUACGCUGGUGAAGACAGAGACCCUGGCUGAGUAUGUCGUGCGCACUUUUGCCCUGGAGCGGAGAGGCUACUCUGCCCGGCACGAGGUCCGCCAGUUCCACUUCACAGCGUGGCCAGAGCAUGGCGUCCCCUACCACGCCACGGGGCUGCUGGCUUUCAUCCGGCGCGUGAAGGCCUCCACCCCACCUGAUGCCGGGCCCAUUGUCAUCCACUGCAG